UACGAAGGGGGCUAGCGUUGCUCGGAAUCACUGGGCGUAAAGCGCACGUAGGCGGCUUUCUAAGUCAGGGGUGAAAUCCUGGAGCUCAACUCCAGAACUGCCUUUGAUACUGGAGAGCUUGAGUCCGGAAGAGGUGAGUGGAACUCCGAGUGUAGAGGUGAAAUUCGUAGAUAUCGGGAGGAACACCAGUGGCGAAGGCGGCGAUCUGGGAAGAUACUGACGCUGAGGUGCGAAAGCGUGGGGAGCAAACAGG
rnacentral:rRNA from 1 species